GUGGAUGGGUGGGUGCUUCGGGAGGGAGGGAGGGAGGGGGGAUGGAGAGAACAAGAGGACAAAGGGUGAAAGAGGAGAAUCCGACGACUUUGGUGUAGGUGGGGAGGGGACUUUGUUUUAGAGUGAGGGUGUGAGGUUGAGGGAAGGAAAAGUAACAAUUAAAAAAAGAAAAAAAAAAGAAAAAAAAAGGAAAGAAAAACUAGACGCGAAAUAAUAAGACUGAUAAUGAGAGAAAAAAAAUUGCAAAAAAAAUAGAAAAAAAAAGGAAAAAAAAAAAAAAAGAAAAAAGAGAGAAUCACCGUAAACGCGCUCGACCAAACGUAGAUCAACGAGGAGAGGGCUCCGCCCAGCCGUGGCGACGCGCGAUACGUACGAAACGAUUUUAUUAUACGAUCGUACGACGUCGAGCAAGUACGACGAGAAAUAAAAAGAAAAAGAAGAAGAAAAAAAAGAAAAAAGAACCGACGACAACGACGACGAUGACGAUGUCGACGACGAGAUCGACGACGACGAGGACGAGGUUCACGACGACGUGGACGAGGUCGUCGACGACGAGGACGACGACGACGACGACGACGUCACGACUUAAGAUUUUAAUCCUGACGAUAACGAAAUACGAGACGCAAAACCCAAACGAUACGUUCUUACGGGGCAGCGCAUAAUGCGCGCAGAGUCCCGUCCGUCUCUGAACGAACGGACGUAUACGCGCACCAGCGCGCACUAGCGAGCGCAACACUGCUGACCAGAAGAGAGGAGGACUCCGUAAAAGCAGCAACUUCGUACCCAGACAACACUAAUCACUGCGUGCGGAUGUAUGCCGGCCAUAUAGAUCCACCGAACUGCCCUACGAGCAACGGGAACUAUAUAGCAAGCAGGAAAUGUGAUGACGCAGCUUCAAUAGAGAGCAAAAUAGGGAGCAACGGAAAUCGUGAAAAAAAAAAGAAGAAGAAAAAAAAAAAAAGAAAAAGUACGAGACCAUCUUACCUAGCGUUGCUUCCGCGAAAAAUUAGCAUGAUUUCGAAGUAUAAUGAAUGAUUAAUCAUAACGAUAACGAAUAUAGGUCAUUACGUACAAGUUAAUAAUUACGUUACCUACCCACCUACCCGUUAUGUAUCGUACAGAAUGAUUAAUUACGAACGUAUAAGAUAUUGGAAGAAAAAAAUGGAAGAAGAAAAAAAAUACAAAGAGAAAAAAAGAAAAAGAAAGAAAGAAGAAGAAAAAUUUCUUACCAAACAAUUGUCCGACGUGCAGGUACGAGUGCUCCGUAUUUCUUGCAAGCUUCCCCAUGGACGUGGUUUGUCGUUUUUAUUGCCGUACGAGUGUAAAUACGAUGACGAAUGUUCCGACGUAGGAUUCAAAUCCUCCAAGCUAUGAACCAACGAUUUCGACAUGCCGCAAUAGACCUUUGGACUUAAUUUGUCGCAGGCGGUAAUUCGCGUUAAAAUUUGCGAUUGGUUGGACAAAUUUUCCGACGUAUCGAUAACUUCGUCCGUUCGUUCGUGAAGCAUCGCGGUGGUACAGGCAGAUGAGAGAGAACCAACGGACGAACUACCGAACCCCUGCAUGACCACAGGAGCAGAUGGUCCCGGACAGGUGGUGGCAUCCCCACUCCUCCAUGAAUUUUUCCCUUCUGAAACGAUCGAACGAUUUCCUACCACUACUGCAGACGAACUCGUUCCAUCGCGUGGAUUGUCAAAAUUCACUGAAACUUUUUCGUUAUUUAUCCCCGUUGUAGGUUCAUACGACGAUGAUAUCCCGUUUCCCUUCGACGUACCCGAUCUUAUUAUAUUCUCCCAUCUUGAAUCUGAUAUUGCCCGUACUGUGAGCCUAGAACCUGCAGUUUCGUUAAAUGUUCCUCUGUUAGGAGGCAUUAUAAGACCCUGGAAAUAAGGGAAACGUAUUUAUUUAUUUUUUUUUUUUUUUUCAAAUUUUUAUCACGUUCUAUGACAAGAUUAAGUCUGAUAAAUGAUUAAAGCGCAAAAAGUAAAUACUAUACUCUCUGCAAAAUGGAGCGUUGUCUGGAAUGGGAAAAGUCUGCAUUUCUUUCCGAACGUGAACGAUAGUCGUCUUUGAAACCUAUACCGGAAUCGCUAUUGCUUGAAUGAGCCGUCGACGUGCUAACGUUGCUAGGCUGAGGCGAAGCAGCAUCCUGACGUCUUCGUGCCUCGUUGUAGAUAGGAUUGGCAUCGCCAUUUGUAGUAUCGGAUAUGUAUAAGGUUUGUAUGGCUCCUAUUAAACUGUUGCAGCUAUCAGGAAAUUCUUGGCACAUGUUAAGUUCCGAGGUUUUCGUACAUGUAAAUCCAAAUACGUUACAAGUACUAGAGUGUAUCGCAUGAUCAAUCAGCUUAUAAUAUAUAGUGAACACAUGACACGAGUUCGAAACUAUGUCAUCCUUGUCUUUGACCGACUUUGUUAAUAUUCCAAAAUACUGUUUAUCUUCUUCAGAAAAAGAAUUACAAAAUAUUAUUCUAUAGGAUGGAUACUCAGCGAUAACAAGAUUUUCUGAAUUAGUAAGUUUUAUGUUUGCCACGUGUAUCGUUAAAAGUACUGUUGUCGGAUUUCGUUUCUCUGCCUUUAACCUUUUGAUGCAUUUCCGUAGAACCUAAAAGUAUUAAGAAAAAUGUUAUAUCAAUUGAUAUUAUAAAAGUUCAUACCAAAUCAUGUUCAUGUUCAUAUUUAAUCUGAGGCAUCUACCUGCAUCAUAGAAGACGGAUGCAAUUGAUUAGGAAUAUCAAUAGUGCCCAAAUAACCGACCACAGUUCUAUGUACAAUUUUUUCAGAAUCUCGUUUAUGCGACGUAGGUGGAGGUGGCGGAGGAAGAGGAUUACUCAUGUUCCAACGAUGAUGAAGGUGACUGCAAUGUAUUUUACUUUGUUGCACUGCUCUCCCAGUUGUAUCGAACAUGGCACCGCUUUGUAAAUCCCUAACGACUUUAGCAACUCUACAUUGUAACUGUAUAGCAUUUGUAUUGUUAGCACGUGGCUUAUGUGCAUAUUUCGGCUUGGACCUAACGGUAGCAAAACCUUCUUCGUCCGACGAAUCGGAAUAAUAAUUUUCAGCUAUCUGUAAUCUUAGGACACCUUGGGAGUGUCCUAUUAGCUGCACCACGUCGUCGUGUGGAACUUUACUAACAUUGUGACCAUUAACAGCCACCAAAUAAUCUCCUGCUCGUAGCCCAGCAUUUUCAGCAGGACUUCCUUGUACAAUGCAACUUAAUAUACAAGGCUGUUGUCCAGAUAUAGUAAAACCAUAUCCCUUUGUUCCACGAACCACUUCCACAGCUCGUACACCAUAAUUUACUCUCUUCUUUUUCCUUCUGUUGUGGUGCAUCCUUGUAUUUGUAUUUCAAAAUACCACACGCUCAAAUAUCUUCAUUCUUUCUCAAAUGAUUAUCUCGAUGGACCAACAUUCUUCUUAUAAUGCAAAAUUAACAAUUUCAAUUGAAUUAUUGAAAGAAUAUCAAUUUGUAAUAUUUACUUGACAGCUUGACUUGCCCGUUUAUUCAGAGUGAAAAAUAUUACCGAACAUGUGAAUAGAAAUUUUUUAUUAUAUUGCACAGAACUAACGACGAUCUUAACGAUAAAACUAUAAACGUAUAAAUAUACCGCAUAAGAUUUUUAUAUCCAGUCUCACAUCGAAAUUAAAGUUAUAAGUCAUAGAAGUCUAGCGGUUGACGGUAACAUGGAGUGUUUUGGAACUCCAUGUCUUCCAUAUUUACAUUCCUAUGUUCAUGCAAUUUAUCUGAUGUAAGACAUAUUUCACAAAUUUUAAUAUAACAUUAUAAUUGUUUAUACGAAAUACGUAAAAUUAUAUCUCUCCAUGAUCAGGAAAAGAUCUUGUAAAAAUGGUUAUACAUUUUAACGAAGAUUAAUAAGAAUUGGACAAUUCACCACUCAACGGGGUUAAGUUAGUAAAUUAAAGCGUACCAACCUAUCAAAUUAUUCCCAUAUAUUUAUAUGUUCGUAUAGUGCCAUGAAUAAUAUUCAAAUUGGAUAAUACGUUUCUUAAGAAAUCUUUCGAAGCUUUCAAAUUAUAAAAUCGUCAUGUUCUUUUCUUAUUCUUAAGCGAUAAUAAUAUACGGCGUACAAACCUAAUCAUUUCAAAUUUAAAACGUAUAGAUAUUUUGAAAAUACUUAUAUAUUGCCAAGUGGUUAAAGAAAAAGGUUUACAAAAAAUGGUGAAUGUAAGUAACCUAUACCAUAAGACGCAAAAUUGAUAGUUAAUGAACAUUUACCUAUUAAAAAUAUCUUGUAAACUCUCAUGGAAUAUAGAUUAUAAAUUGAUGGGUAAUAAAAAGUUUCUAUUUAAAUAAUAUUACAUUUUGAAAAUUCUCUCCAUUCAUCGAUAUAUCUAUGUAAUAUUUUAAAUUAGAAUUUCGCGCCAAAACAACCAUGCGCCAUCUGACGUGACAAUUUUGUAACAAUAAGAUCAGCGCCCACUAUACCGACCGAGAUGAAAUAAUAAGAAGGACUACCUCCCCUAUUAUCAUGUGUUCCUAUUCAAAUUUCGAACGUUUUAGCGACAAUAUGGCGAUCAAUAUAUACGUCGUGUCAUGUGCGUGUGCGUGUGCGUAUAUAUUCGACUACGUUGACAGACAGGAUAUCAAUUUUAAUUAUUUAUUCUUCAAUUAUUAUAGGCACUUUUUAUUAACUUUUAUAAUAUUGUUUUAUUCCAUAAGGAUAAACGUUUAAUAUCUAAAUGUUUGCGAUUUAAAUCUACAAAUUAUAUAAAUAAUAUUAUUAAUCAGUAUUAUUUAUCUAGAUUUCGUGUAUUACGUAAAUCAAUUGUAAUGCUGUCUCUUCUGAGUAUUAUGAAGACUUAUAAAUUCUAUCUUUGUUUUCUUCGUUAUAUUAAAAGUAUCUUACAAUUGUUUUAUCAAUGAUAUCUUUAUUUUUAAACUAAAUCGAUUACAACUUCGUUGAAAAUACUAAUGAAAAUUCUUAUCUGUAUGCUGUUAUUAAAUAAGAAGAAAUUUUUGAUUAGAAGGGAUUAGAGAAGUGUAUAUAUAUAUAUAUAUAUAUAUAUAUAUAUAUAAGGUAUGAAAGUUUUUUCUUUGCGUAACGCUCAAUGCCUUUUCUCUAUUUGAUAUUAGUACGUUGUUCUAUCGUGUGCGUCAGGUACUCUAUAUAACUAACGAUUAUAAAUGUGGGACAGUUAUAUGUCUGUCAUAUAAUUGUUACGUCUAUACAUCAAAAUAAAUCGAAUAUUAUAAGAUAAAAGUAUUAAACAAUAAAGAUCAUUGUUAUAUUAAAACCUUUAAUAAACUCUCCAAAUAUAAUCUAUAAAUGAUAGACACAAAGAUUUAACAACU